rnacentral:misc_RNA from 1 species
GCAAACUUGGUCAUUUAGAGGAAGUAAAAGUCGUAACAAGGUUUCCGUAGGUGAACCUGCGGAAGGAUCAUUAAAAAAAUGAAAGUUGAGAUUUUUAAAUCUCAAACUUAUCUGAACAUUGUGGUAUUAAUGAAAUUUGAAUUGGGCUUAAAAAUGGUAUUUCUCUCUCUUUAUGAGGGAGAAUAUCGGCUCAAACAACUUUUAUAAACUCUAUUUUAUUAUUUGACUGAAUAUCAAGUAAAAUUAAUCCCAAUGGGAUUAAAAAAAAAGGUUUAAAUAACUUUCAACAACGGAUCUCUUGGUUCUCGCAUCGAUGAAGAACGCAGC